UAUAUCUGGGUAUACACCAUGGCGGUGUAGGUGGAAACAGUGGCAGUGGAGGAGGAGGUAGCCAACACUGUUUUUAUUUUUUUUAUUGGGGUAGCCCCCAAAAUAUUGGGACAUAUAAAAAAAGAAAAAGAAGAAUAAGUGCACUUGAGUAUAACAAUGGCUGGGUGAGGCCGGUAUAAAUGUCUAUUCUGCACAAGGUACAAACAAGUCUGAUGGGAUCCAUGCCUCGUUUCUUUUAAUAAACGUGAGCUUGUCCACGUUGGCAGUGGAAAGGCGGCUGCGCUUGUCUGUGAUAACCUUGUGCCGAUCGCACGUCCCCGUAACGGUGACAACGCAUUCUGAUGUCUGCCCUAUCAACUUUCUAUGCUAUUUUCCGCGCCUACCAUUAUGACCACGGGUAACGGGGAAUCAGGGUUCAAUUCCAGAGAGGGAGCCUGAGAAACGGCUACUACAUGCAAAAAAAAGGCAGCAGGCAUGCAAAUUACCCACUCCUGACGCGGGGAGGUAGUGAUGACAAACAACAAUACACUACUCUUUCGAGGCCCUGUAACUUUAAAUCCUUUAACUUGGAUCAACUGGAGGACAAGUCUGGUGCAAAGCAACUGAAGCAUGCGUGCUGCAGC